rnacentral:tRNA from 1 species
UAUAAGUUAGUCAAAGAAUGGCAUUGGGUUGUAGCCCCAAAGAUGAUAAUAAAACUUCACUUAUAA